CCAGAGCCGAGCGGAGCUCGAGCUCCCGCGCCAUCGUCGCCCCUUGCUUCGAUCUCCCUCCUCCGUCCACCAGACCUCGAUUCCUCGCGCAGGAACCUUCCUCGUCACCUCCUCCACCUUCCCAAACCCCUAAACCGGCUUAUCCCCGGCUGGAAUCUUUCCACCACCGCCGGACACCAUUGGGGGUGCUUGAAGCUUGCUCCACCGCCGAUCCGCCUCUCCGGUCGCCCUCCACUCGAACCGACUGCGGGAAUGGAUUCGUGCAUCCGCAUCUGAGGGAGCCGUCUUUGAGGCGAUCGCGGCACCACAAGAGCAAACGACGCAAGCCCAAGAGGAGAGGUGUGAGCACCCGGCCCAAGGCCCGUCUGGCCCCAGUGUUGAGCAGCAGGCGCAAGGCAAGCCCCGGUGCACAUCCUAGUAUUUUAAAUUAAGACACCUAUGUAUGUUUCUACUACUUGUGCAUUAAGUUCAGGAAUUGUUUGGAACCCUAGUUGCAUGAUUCAUAGGAUUCCCGGAGUUAUACUAGCAUGUAUAGGACGAUAGUUGUGCUAAGCUUAGCGUUACCGGUAGAAGACGAGUGGUCUCCUGCACUCGCGAGAUGUAGAAUGUUAGGAGUCGAGUAAUUUCCGGUUACUCGCGAGAUACGUUAUUAUCUUUAUAUGAUUCAGUAUGUGAGAUUGGUUUUGAAA